rnacentral:misc_RNA from 1 species
UUGAAAAUCUCAUUUUGCAGUUAUAACAGCUACUUGAAAGAUAAAUAAGUGCUACCCCAAGGGCUUACCUCAAGGGCAAAUGUGUUUGAAAGAAAUGAAUUAACACUGCAUUUGGAUUCAUGAACUUGGAUUUGGAUUACAUACCUUGUUUGGGAGGUUUAUAAAAAUAUGAAUUUGAAUUUCAAUAAGAUUCAAGAUGAAUAUUAAGAUUCAAAAAAUUAAGUAUUUGAAAUAAUAAUAUUAACUGUUAUUUUAAAUUCAAAUUCAUCCCAACAAAAAACAAUAAAUUCAGGACUUGAAAUUCUUUUCAUUAAGCAAACAAGAAAUUUUUGAAUUUAUGAUAUUUGACAUUCAAAUUUUAAAUCUAAAUCCAAACACAAGCUAAACUGUUUUGUUAAUAACAUUCUUUCCUUGCUGAAGAAAAGAGAAGAACAUGAAAGCAAACUUCUUUUCCUGAUGUUCCAAGGAAAUAAGUUGUUCCUUCUAAUGUUACGUAAUAUGUAACAUAUCCAAGGAAUAAAUUGUUCCUUCAAAUUUCUGUAUUGAUGUCUGCAUAAGGUUUAAGUCGUUUGGUGUGAAUAACCACCCUUCAUUCAAUUGUAGGCUCAUAGAAAUUUUGUUUUUUUUGUUGUUCUCUGGAAACAUGUUAAGGAUGAGUUGUGCUAAGAUUAGUGGCAUUUAUACUUUGAUUUCUUGGAGAAAUUUGCUUAUUAUAAUAUAGACAUUAGAUUUAGAGUUGAAAGAUUCCUUAUUAUAAUACAAGUCCUAUUUUAAUAUAAUUUUCAAUUGGAUAAUGCAAAAGAAGGUAAAGAAAUCAAGCAUUGACGACCCCUGUGGCCAGUUGGUGUGGGGCAGGAAUAGCUUCCCACUUCCUUUUAUUUGCAUUCAAAAUUUUUUUUUUGGUGCUUGUCUUGUGCUUUUGAAUUCUAUGAGAGUAUGGCGUUUCAGCUCCUCCCAACCUGUCCAUUGCUUUUGUGCUAACACUUACUGUAUUUUACUUCAAAUCUUCUUCAGGAUCAGACGAAAAGUGGAGCCAG